rnacentral:rRNA from 1 species
CCUACGGGUGGCAGCAGUGGGGAAUAUUGCUCAAUGGGGGAAACCCUGAAGCAGCGACGCCGCGUGAGGGAUGAAGGAUUUCGGUUUGUAAAGCCCUUUUUGUAGGGAAGAAAAUGACGGUACCUGACUAAGAAGCCCCGGCUAACUACGUGCCAGCAGCCGCGGUAAUACGGAGGGUGCAAGCGUUACCCGGAUUUACUGGGUGUAAAGCGGGCGUAGGCGGCAUAGCAAGUCUGGAGUGAAAGGCUAGGGCUCAACCAUAGAACUGCAUUUGAAACUGUGAGGCUGGAGUAUGGGAGAGGUAGGUGGAAUUCGUGGUGUAGCGGUGAAAUGCGUAGAUAUCACGAGGAACACCAAUUGCGAAGGCGGCCUGCUAGACCAUAACUGACGCUGAUGCGCGAAAGCGUGGGGAGCAAACAGGAUUAGAUACCCGAGUAGUC